UGGGGAAUAUUGCACAAUGGGCGCAAGCCUGAUGCAGCCAUGCCGCGUGUAUGAAGAAGGCCUUCGGGUUGUAAAGUACUUUCAGCGGGGAGGAAGGUGUUGAGGUUAAUAACCUUCAUGCAAUGACUGUACCCGCAGAAGAAGCACCGGCUAACUCCGUGCCAGCAGCCGCGGUAAUACGGAGGGUGCAAGCGUUAAUCGGAAUUACUGGGCGUAAAGCGCACGCAGGCGGUCUGUCAAGUCGGAUGUGAAAUCCCCGGGCUCAACCUGGGAACUGCAUUCGAAACUGGCAGGCUGGAGUCUUGUAGAGGGGGGUAGAAUUCCAGGUGUAGCGGUGAAAUGCGUAGAGAUCUGGAGGAAUACCGGUGGCGAAGGCGGCCCCCUGGACAAAGACUGACGCUCAGGUGCGAAAGCGUGGGGGAGCAAACA
rnacentral:rRNA from 1 species